rnacentral:rRNA from 1 species
AUAGGAUGAGUCUGCGGCGUAUCAGGUCGUAGGGGGUGUAAUGGACCUCCUAGCCAUCGACGCGUACGGGUGUUGGGAGACAUAGCCCGGAGAUGGAUUCUGAGACACGAAUCCAGACCCUACGGGGUGCAGCAGGCGCGAAAACUUCACACUGCAGGAAACUGUGAUGAGGGAACUCCAAGUGCUAUCACUAUGUGGUAGCUUUUCUUAACUAUUAAUCGGUUUUGGAAUAAGGGCUGGGAAAGACCGGUGCCAGCCGCCGUGGUAAUACCGGCAGCUCAAGUGGUCGUCGCUUUUAUUGGGCCUAAAACGUCCGUAGCCUGUUUGGUAAAUCUGUGGGUAAAUCAACCAGCUUAACUGGUUGAAUUCUGCAGAGACUGCCAGACUAGGGACCGGGAGAGGUGUGGGGCACUCUAGGGGUAGGGGUAAAAUCCUGUCAUCCUUAGAGGACCACCAGUUGCGAAGGCGCCACACUGGAACGGAUCCGACGGUCAGGGACGAAGCCUAGGGGCACGAACCGGAUUAGAUACCCGGGUAGUCCUAGGUGUAAACGCUGUGAACUUGGUGUCGGGGAUCCGUAAUGGGUUCUCGGUGCCGGCGUGAAGAUGUUAAGUUCACUGCCUGGGGAGUACGGUCGCAAGGCUGAAACUUAAAGGAAUUGGCGGGGCAGCAC